UGGGGAAUAUUGCACAAUGGGCGCAAGCCUGAUGCAGCCAUGCCGCGUGUGUGAAGAAGGCCUUCGGGUUGUAAAGCACUUUCAGCGAGGAGGAAGGUGGUGAGCUUAAUACGCUCAUCAAUUGACGUUACUCGCAGAAGAAGCACCGGCUAACUCCGUGCCAGCAGCCGCGGUAAUACGGAGGGUGCAAGCGUUAAUCGGAAUUACUGGGCGUAAAGCGCACGCAGGCGGUUUGUUAAGUCAGAUGUGAAAUCCCCGGGCUCAACCUGGGAACUGCAUUUGAAACUGGCAAGCUAGAGUCUCGUAGAGGGGGGUAGAAUUCCAGGUGUAGCGGUGAAAUGCGUAGAGAUCUGGAGGAAUACCGGUGGCGAAGGCGGCCCCCUGGACGAAGACUGACGCUCAGGUGCGAAAGCGUGGGGAGCAAAACAGGAUUAGAUACCCUGGUAGUCCACGCUGUAAACGAUGUCGAUUUUGGAGGUUGUGCCCUUGAGGCGUGGCUUCCGGAGCUAACGCGUUAAAUCGACCGCCUGGGGAGUACGGCCGCAAGGUUAAAACUCAAAUGAAUUG
rnacentral:rRNA from 1 species